rnacentral:rRNA from 1 species
GAAAGAAGAUGUCUAGGUAAGGUACCGCUAGCCGCGCUGGUGAUUGCUUUCUUCCGAGGUAACUGAGUCGAUACAAUGCCACAGGUAAGAGGAGUUCACCAGUUUAACAGAAGGUUGCAACUUAUUCAAGGGAUGAUGAAGGUUUCUACCUAGUAGGUCUUUUAUAUCAUUGUGUUGAAUAGGUACUUCUCGUGUCUAGUUUUACCUAUCGUGCAUCGUUAGUAUUACACUUUACAAAAUGUCUUCUACUCUAUUUUUCUAAAUGACUGUUGAUAUUCUGAAAUGAGCCAUCUCCACGGAAACCUCUUCAAAUAGUUCCUCAGGAACUCCUGUUUUCAUACUAACGUCAGUUCUCCAAAUAGAUGUUACAUUCUCUUUCAAAACGGUUUCUCAACUAGCAGGUGGCACUUUAGUUAGUGUUCUUGCAUCAGUCUAAUUAACCGAUAACACAUCUACUUUCACGGGAUUACCACCAGUGCCUCAUAUAAGGAUUUCCUUUAGACUCAUUGUAGGAAGUGGUCCUAUCAUAAGGGUAGUGAAACCUAUGUGCCGAUUCUUAACGUUAACUUACACGUUUUCGUAACCUGAUAUACGUAAGUGUUUACAUAUGAGUCUAGUAAGUACCACUAUAGUUCGGACGAUUAUAUGAAGACCUACUACCUGAGCCACGUUUUUAUAGUCUGAAACCUUAUAGUUCUGAUUAGUUGUGACUUUUAUGAGAUAUAUGAGAUUUACACUAUCCUUCAUAUCCGAUGUACCUGGGAGACAAACGAGUCUCACCGGCGGAGUGUCGUUUCUCACUACAAAUGUCAAAACCUCAACACGAGGACCUUGACUAUUGGUCUUUUUUUCGUUCUUGUCUCCUACCCCUCUAACCGAACCAACUUUCAAAAUCAGUUAGAGAAAGUUUUCCCUAAUCCUCCCACUCCCUCUACAAACUAAGACUUUAACGUUGUAGCUCGCUGUACUUCUGAUAACUUCUCUAACGAUUCAACCGUCCAUUUACGAACUUCUACCUUGAAUGGUUUGCAGGAGUGUACAAUCUUCAACGUCUUGCAGAAGCGUUUGAAUUCUUUCGACGUGCAGUCCAUGUUCUUUCUGGUUGAGACAAAAGAACCUAUACCUUUUUAUUUGUUCGAGGUCGGUUUUGUGGUGGUGAUCUUUCGUCGUCGUCAUCGGUUUUGCGCUCUUGACAUCGAGGUCGACUUUUCUACGGUAGUGUUCUUUCGUCACCGUCAUGGGGGUUUUGCCCUUAACACCGACGUGAGUUUCGCCGUGAUAGUGUCCAUUCGGUACUAUCAUGUGUUUUACACCCUUGAAGAUAGUAACCCAGCUGUUACUGUCCGGUUAACAAGCUGGACUUUCUGGACGAACCCCGUAGCUGACUUCAAGACCCGUUCCCAUGUUAGCCCUGUUGUAUGUCUCGUUGUGAUCUAUCACCUAUACUCGACCACCAGUUCUCCGACUUUCUACACCUGAACCUCCUCCGCCAGAAAUUCGCCGAACAAUGCGACAAACCACGGUAGGUCUUGUUUGUGUAUCACGGUGAAGAUACCAUAAUGACGUCGUUCCUACUCUUCAACGAUCACGUAUUACAUCAGGGGUACCCAUCGGAUCGUUUUCAUGAGGUGCCGCUGGUUCCAAGACCGGGUCGAGUUGACCUGACCCUCGUCGCCAACCGAUAGAGUGAUCGACGACGCGCACCACACGUCCGAUAGGUGAAUCGACCCGGUAGUUCGACGGUACCGUUGUAGUUCAGAAGGUUGUAGGACGAGUGGCCUUGAGUGUUGCGUACACACAGCCUCGUACCGGACUAUUGUGAACCAUAAAUAAUGUUACGGAGGCCGAUGACACGUGGGCUCCAGUGGGCGUUAUCCACCCAGAGGGUCUUUAGACUGCAGAUGUCGAAGCCGUAGGAUAACGACCUCGAAGAGUGGGCGUUCAGAGGUGACUCCUUCUCUAAAGUCCUACUGUUCCCUCAUCUAAACGGUGCCACCCACACAAGGUAAUAUGGACUCCUCACCUGCCGCCUCCAUAAGCUGCACCUCGAGGAUCGUACCCCCGUCUUCCUACCCUUUCUCCUCACGUACCACGCUGAAUACGUCGAGCCCGAUUUCACAACGUCAGUUCUACGACUGAGCUCCGGAUGUUACAGACUACAGCACGUCGCCUAACUCCUCUAGCCUGUCAGGAUUAACGACUGUUUCUUGGAGUGUGUAGUAUCACUCACUUUCAACGGCCCAGUGUCAACGUAAGUUUACAGUAUAUAAAAGUCAUGGUGGAAAGUUGACCAAUAGGGUCUCUUGCUAUUUAUUUAAAACUGCUACUUCAAUAGAGUCUCUUGAUGAUAGGACUUUUUCUGAAAGUGACGAUCAAACAUUUAACAUUAGCUAGUUAACAGGAUGUACAAUAACCGUAUAUAUGGGACGUGAAAAGGUUUAUUUUUAUUUUUAACCGUAUAUACGAGACGUGAAAAGGUUUAAUU